CACCACAAGUUGGUGAAGCUGCCAGCAUGAUCUGAUGGUAUGAUGUAUUUACCUCUCUUUGCCUGAUUGUCAUGGACGAAUUCAGGAUGAGGGGGAAAGAGGAAUAUGAGUCAGGUCAUGCUGUAGUUUCAUCUGCUGGUGGG
rnacentral:pre_miRNA from 1 species